UGUCACAACGUAUCGUUUUUCUUCUUCAUAGUAGCUGUUAAACCCCAGAGUAUCUUUAAUCUCCUCAAAUGAUGGCAGACUGCUGGGAGGAGGUAUGCGACCACCUUUUAUAGCAAUAAGAGCAUCCUGCAUUGCACGCAUUGAUACCCCAAUCAGAGAUAAUGGGUAUGCUAUGAGUUUAUAACCAGUUUCUUCAAGUUCAGCAGGGCUCAAAAUAGGAGUUUUACCACCACCUUCUAACAUAUCUAACCAUUUUUGGAACUCCAGGUGAUACUGCACAAAAUGCCUUCAUCUCUUCUCUUGAAGCAAGGGCAUCAAUAAAUAGAACAUCUGCUCCAGCAUCUGCAAAAGCGCGUACUCUCCAUAAUGCUUCAUCAAGAGACAAAGCUUGACGAGAGUCUGUCCUUGCCACAAUAACAAUGUCAGAGCCACUCUCCUUCCUGGCAUCUACAGCAGCUUUUAUAUGCAUAAUUGCUUCCUCCCUUGAGACAACUUUCCUUCCCUGUGUAUGUCCGCAUGCUUUUGGAGAUACCUGGUCUUCAAGAAUAAUUCCAGCAAAACCAGCUUUAAUAAAUCCUUUUACUGUUCUCUUGACAUUCAUACAGUUUCCAUAACCAUUAUCAGCAUCACCAAUCACUGGGAUUGAGGCCGCUUCGGUGAUCAGACACCCUUGAUCUAUCAUUUCCCCAUAGGAGAUGAGACCCACAUCAGGCAAUCCAAGUCGCGCAGCAGAUAUUGAGAAACCUGAAAAGACAUAAUAUACAGACCUUGAACCCCGCGCGCCCCACGAGGCGGGCGCUGAGCGCGUCGUAGCACGCGGGCGCCUGGUGGGCGCCGGGGGACUCCAGGACCCUCCGGAGCGCCUCCGCGGGCGACUCCCCGGCGUCGGCGGCGGCGCCGUAGGAGGAGCAGCGCGGGGAGACCACCCUCGCGGCGCGCGCCGAGGCGGGCGAGGGGCAG
rnacentral:sRNA from 1 species